rnacentral:lncRNA from 1 species
GGAAGCCCCAGACCACGGCCAGGGGGAUGCCCAGCACGGCCGAGAGCAGCCGGUAGCACCAGUACUUGCUGACGGUGAAGGUGGUGUAGCUGCCUUUCCAGACACCAUCAAAGCUGUACGUCCCCACGGGCUCAGCUAUCACAUCCUCGAAAUCCACCUUUACAACGUCUUCAUUAAUCCUCUUUGGAUCUCUGUUCACCAGGUCGAUCUCCUUGGUGUGCUGGUCCUUGAUGAUGAUCCUCUCCUCCA